GCAAACUUGGUCAUUUAGAGGAAGUAAAAGUCGUAACAAGGUUUCCGUAGGUGAACCUGCGGAAGGAUCAUUAUUGAAUAAGCUUGGUUAGGUUGAUGCUGGCUUUUCUCUGAAAAGCAUGUGCACGCCUAUUCCAUAGUUCAAACCCCUGUGCACCUUGUGUAGACCUGAACAACAACUUUCAAGAGAAGCUUUCUCUUGGUUUUCAGGAUUGCUGUGUUGAAAAUCCAGCUUUCCUGUGCGUUCCGUGUCUAUGUUUCAUUGUAUACACCCUUUUACGAAUGUAUCAGAAUGUUAUCAAUAGGCUUUCAUACCUAUAAGAACAAAUAUAACUUUCAACAACGGAUCUCUUGGCUCUCGCAUCGAUGAAGAACGCAGC
rnacentral:misc_RNA from 1 species